CCUACGGGUGGCUGCAGUGGGGAAUAUUGCACAAUGGGGGAAACCCUGAUGCAGCGACGCCGCGUGAGUGAAGAAGUAUUUCGGUAUGUAAAGCUCUAUCAGCAGGGAAGAAAAUGACGGUACCUGACUAAGAAGCCCCGGCUAACUACGUGCCAGCAGCCGCGGUAAUACGUAGGGGGCAAGCGUUAUCCGGAUUUACUGGGUGUAAAGGGAGCGUAGACGGCGGAACAAGUCAGAAGUGAAAACCCGGGGCUCAACCCUGGGAGUGCUUUUGAAACUGUUUGGCUGGAGGGCAGGAGAGGUAAGCGGAAUUCCUGGGGUAGCGGUGAAAUGCGUAGAUAUUAGGAGGAACACCAGUGGCGAAGGCGGCUUACUGGACUGUAACUGACGUUGAGGCUCGAAAGCGUGGGGAGCAAACAGGAUUAGAUACCCCAGUAGU
rnacentral:rRNA from 1 species